CGGCGGACGGGUGAGUAACGCGUGGGUAACCUGCCUCAUACAGGGGGGAUAACAGUUGGAAACGGCUGCUAAUACCGCAUAAGCGCACAGUACCGCAUGGUACCGUGUGAAAAACUCCGGUGGUAUGAGAUGGACCCGCGUCUGAUUAGCUAGUUGGUGGGGUAACGGCCUACCAAGGCGACGAUCAGUAGCCGACCUGAGAGGGUGACCGGCCACAUUGGGACUGAGACACGGCCCAAACUCCUACGGGAGGCAGCAUG
rnacentral:rRNA from 1 species